rnacentral:rRNA from 1 species
AUGCCGGAUAAUCCAAUGGAUCGAGAGAUUCAUUGGCAUGCUCGAGCGAUUGUUCUAGAAAUCCUUGGCUCCACGGUGUUCACUGAUACAUCUCGAGAUGGAGUGCCAGCUAUGUAUCUUCAGUUUAUGCAGAAUGCAUGGCAACCAACAGAGUAUAAUUGGGGAGCAGCUGUUCUUGCUAUGUUAUAUAGACAGUUGAGCAUUGGGGCUGAGAAGGAGAGAUUAGAAAUUUCGGGGCCUUUGUUGCUGCUACAGUUAUGGUCCUGGUCCCAUUUGCCACUUGGUCGCCCUAAAAAUAUUAUUGAGAAGCCAAAAGAAAGGGAGGAGCCCGGAGAUGAGGAAAGUGGAGAAGUAGACUUGGAUUAUAACCCUGUAUUUGGAGCAAAGUGGUGUGCUGGACAUGAAUUUGAUGUUCCACAUAAUGCGGGUACCGAAUAUUAUCGAAAUCAGAUUGAUUUGAUUCAAGAAGGUGCAAUUGAAUGGCAACCAUAUGAAGGCCUUCUGGAUGAGAUGCCUGUCGAAGUACAUGAUGGUACUAAUUGGUGGUUUGCUAGAGUACCACUCAUACAUUUUUGGAUUGUAGAGUUUCACUAUCCAAAUAGGGUGAUGCGGCAAUUCGGAUUAAGACAAGCCAUUCCACCUUCCCCUCCACGCGGCGAGGUAGAGGUUCGCAAAUUGUGA